UUAAACAUUGAAAAUGAAUUUAUAAUUCAAUUUAAAAAGUCACUCCAUCAUCCCACUGAUCUCACAGAUCCUCCUCAGCCCAGUCUAACAGUGAUUCCUGCAGUCAUCAAAGAGAGAGACUCAGUUCAGCUGAACUGUCAGACUCCUCCAUCUGUCUCUGAGUGUUACUUCAAAAUAGAGGGGAAAGUAGAAUUCACCCUUCCAUCACCCUGUCAACACACACUCACAGGAACACUACUGGUGAGGUGGACAGGUCAGAGUUCACCAGCUGAAGUCAAACUCCAAUGUCAGUACAGUGCUACAGGUUCACAGUUUAGAUCCAUAUACAGUGAGCCUUCAACAGUCACAAUUCAGGACCUUCCUCAGCUGACAGUGAGUUCUACAGUCAUCAGAGAAACAGAAUCAGUUCAGCUGAGUUGUGAGACUCCUCCAUCUCUCCGUGUGUCUCACUGUUACUUCUACAUAGAGGGGAGGAAGAAUCUUCCAGACUCAUCCUGUACUCAGACACUCACAGGAACAGAGCUGCUCAAGAGGGCAGAUCAAACGUUUCCAGAUGUGGUCAAAGUGACGUGUUACUACACUGUAUGGAAGUCUCACACAUCUCCUUUUAGUGACCCUGUCUCAGUCACUGUUCAGUAUCCAAAACCAGACAUUACAGUCAAUAUUGAUGAGGACUUCAACAUCAUCUGUUUGAUUCCUGGAUCCGUCAGUCCUGACACCACCUGUAACCUGUAUGUUGGAGAGGAGAGUCAGCCAUCCUUCACAGCAAAGAUCAUGAAGAGAAAAGCCACCUCAUUAUCCGGACAGCAGUUCUGUCAAUUCAAUCCAAAACAUAGUGAUCUGAUCAGUCGUUUACAGUCAGUGAGGAAUAAGGAGGUGAGCUGUGACUACAGAUUGAGCUCAGGACCAAACUCUCUCUCUCCACGCAGUGAUGGGCACAGCUUUACAGUGGGUUUGACUCCAGGUUCUCGAUCUACUUUGCCUCCCAGCACGACAGUGAGUCCUACAGAAGGUGUGUUGGGCCUCUAAAUGACCAUCUCUGAAAAUAGUAAUUAUACAAUCAAGAGUUUAGAUUACAGGCCUGUAAAAUGAAGUGACCCAAAUGUGAAUGUAAAACCUUAUUUUUGUGUAAUCAUAUUGCUUCCCACUAGUUUCAACUGUUACUUGUACCUUUUACCCCAGACACCACAGUGACACCAACUACCAGUAAGUAGAUCCACCAAUUUUAACUUAGUUUGCAAAUACAAUAUCUUUGUUCACAUUCAUUCACUAAAGCUCUGACUGGUUAACUAAUAGAUGUAUUCAUAGCUGCUUGUAAUUUCAGUCCAGAUUUUGAACCACUUUUAGUCCAUCUGAUUUGUAGGUAAUGUGUAGUGUACUUCUCUCUUCAUGCUUAUUGAAAGACCUUAGAUAUUACAUUCACUUUCAUUUGUUCUUGUGUAAUAUGAGUAAUACCUUCUCACCAGGUUUGACCUCCCCUUUGACCCCUAGCAGGGCAGUGAAUCCUUCAUCAGUUCUCCUAAUCAUCUUUAUCUAGUUAGCAAAUAUAAGUAAAACAAAUAGAGUAGCUUUAUCUUCUCCAUGUUAAUGUUUUUUUUUUACAUCACAAAUUUGCCUCAUUACAAAAAGAGGUUGAUAUUUGAUUGAUUCAAAUCAACCAAUUUAGAUGUAUUUUUGUAUAAUCAGAUCCAAUGAUUUGCUUUGCAUCAGGGUCGACUGUUUGCUGUACUUUGACCACUGACAAUUCAGUCAAGGCUUUAGGAUUAAUCAAACAAUUUGUCUCUUCUUAGAAAUAUUUUCCUAACUCUGUUAUUAAGUUGUCCUUCUCUCUUGCAUGUGACCAGGAGGUCAAAGCUCCACAGAAAGUGAAGUGGAAUCAAACAGUCAAGAAAGCAUUCUGUGUAAGUAUCCUUUUCUAGCUGUCUUUUCUCACACAUGAAAACAGAGCUGUGCACAUUUUCUUAGAAGAACAAGAGCUAAUGACCUCUCCCGAUGUCAUCAUGUCACCAAAUAGUGGGGCAAUUAUGGCAGGCAUCAGUGGGUGUGGCUUCUGGAGUGGGUGUGUUCCUGGUAGGAUUGACAGCUGUCUGUCUCUGCAGGAGGACCAGUGAGUACAUUUGAUUCUGCGUAACAAAUCAUUUUUAAAAUUUACCCUGCGGACAUUAAUGUAAGUGCCUUUGGCAACUCCUUUUGAUGAUAUUGUAUAGGUUAGACUAUAUUCAAUAUAAUGAAUUUAGCCUCAUUUGUUUUUCAGAGAAAACCAAUUCUCA
rnacentral:lncRNA from 13 species